rnacentral:sRNA from 1 species
ACACGUGAAGGGAGGUGGUCCAGACUUUGAAUAGUUAUUGGACUCGUGAGGUGGCUGUCAGCUAGCCGCUGUCCUUCUGGACUCCGACUCGUCGAGCCCGAACGACCGUGGUUCGGCGAAUACAGGCAGCUACCCGACCCUUGGGGUGCCGGCAUAGUCCUACCGGCCCGCGUGUGAACGCGGAAAAAACCCCAAGGGUCGCUGCAU